AGUAAGCCGACCAACCACCAUAAUGUCGAUUUCCGGAAGAGGAAAUUACCAAAGCUUGUGAAUUAUUUUAAAAACUAAAUUGUUGAUUAGGUAUAUUUUUCUUUUAUUUCAUUUGGAAAUUUAUAUCCUUUUUACGAAAAUUUCUAUUUUUUUUUUUUUGCUUUUUCCUUAAUUUGAUAUCAUAAUUUGAUGCAAUGAUCAUAAAAAUCUACGAAAUGAAUCAUAGAAGACCAAAGCUUAACACAAAAGAAUAAAAGAGUUGUAACAACAAUUUCAUUUGUUCAAGACAAUAAGAACCAAACGCAAGACAAGACAUUAUCGCAGAUGUGGUUUGACAAUAAUAUUGAUUCAAGGUAGCAAUAUCAAAAAUCCGAGAGCAACAACAAAAGUCGUAAUUGGUCUACUACUAAACAGGUAAUGAAAUUACA
rnacentral:lncRNA from 1 species